CAACCACUGGAUGCUUUUAUGAAGGUUCUAACAAACAACAAACACCCUCCCCACCUAAAACCACUCCCACUGACCCAGACUCUGGCUCCGGCUCCGUGAUGCCUGCCCCCCUGUCCUCUCGCCGGUGCCCCUCGGCCCGGAUCCUGUCCUCCGUCCCCCGGAGAACUCCCGGUUGCCAGACCUCCGUUCCAUGGAUUGUCCUUUUGUUUGUCCCGCCCGCAUGCCCUGAUGUGUCUUGGGCCAUCUGGGAUCCGUCCCUUGAGGGGGUGUACUGUCACGUCUUCUAGGAACAUCAGAGGACCUGGGCCGUGCUGCUCCUCUGACCCCCUGUGCAACUUUACCGAAGGACAUCCUGAAGACAAACAAUGGCAGAGAACAAAGUUAGUCAGCGGUUCCCAAGCUCCCGUCUGCCG
ensembl:lncRNA